CCCACAGAUGCCGGUGUGCCUGCCAGUACUGUCUAAGGUGACUAUGAAAUGUCUCAGUCAAUAUCCCUUCAGAAAUCCACAAUACACAAGAAACAUGGAAAACUUUAGUGUCUGUCAUCCCCAUACUUUCAAAAUCACAAGGCUUCGAAUCAGUACUUAGUCAGAGGUAAGAACGUGAUACAAGAUUGAUGCUUAUGAUUCAGAGGAAGACUUUUCUUGGAGACCUCCCAAGAAACUAUCCACGCUUAUGCCCACAUAAAAACUGAUCUACAAAAA